UACGUAGGAGGCAAGCGUUGUCCGGAUUUAUUGGGCGUAAAGAGCGUGUAGGCGGUCAGGUAGGUCCGUUGUGAAAACUCGAGGCUCAACCUCGAGACGCCGAUGGAAACCAUCUGACUAGAGUCCGCAAGAGGAGAGUGGAAUUCCUGGUGUAGCGGUGAAAUGCGCAGAUAUCAGGAAGAACACCCGUGGCUAAGGCGGCUCUCUAGUACGGUACUGACGCUGAGACGCGAAAGCGUGGGGAGCGAACAGG
rnacentral:rRNA from 1 species